AGUGAGAAAAGGAGGACAGUGAAGCAACCCCAAGUUCUUUCCUGAUACAAAAAGUACAGGCAGACUGACUGCAAAGCAGGCUCUACCAGAGAGAGGCUCUUGCUUUUGUUCGUCCGAACUCCUGAGUUUAAGCAGUCCUCCCGCUUUGGCCUCCCAGAGUACAAGAAUUACAGGCGUGAGCCAUGGCUGCCAGCCAUCUAAAGAGUUUUUAAAAGUGCAAGAAGGAAGCAGAAGAUGAGAGUCUGAGGGAGAUAGAUGUGACUACUCAGGAAUAGUCAAGAGAGGUUUAACCUCAUUGGCUUUCAAGAUGGAGAAAGAGGGUCACGAGCCAAGGAAUGUGGGUGGCCUCUAGAAGAGGAAGAGGUGAAGAAACAGAUUCACCCUGUGGACCUCCAGAGAAGAACACAACCCUGCUGACAUCUUCAUUUUAGCCUGGUGAGAUCCAUAUUGAACUUCUGAUCUUCAGAACGAAAAUUUAGACCUGCCCUGUUAUGCAAGCUGUUUAUUGUGGGUGAAAGUGCUACAUGCAGCUCUUAGCCAUGGGCAUUGGGAAAGGCUCCUGGGAAGAACUCCAACCUUUAUGACCCGAUAUAUAAUGAAGGACUCUUCAGGAAACUCCAGGAGAUUUGUGAGGUCUGUGGGCUCCACUGCAUCCAGAUCAACCUUUUCAUAGGGAUGUAAAAGACCCCCAAACUCUUUGGACUAAUUGGAGCAAUAAUAACUAACAACAGUAACACUUUUUGAGUACUUGAUAGUAUCAGGUUCAUUCAACAUGACAACCUGCCAACCACCCUUUGAGGUAGGUAUUUUUGCUACCCCCACUUUACAGAAAAGAAAACUGAAACAUGCAGUGGUUAAGUCACACAUCCGAAAUCAUACAGCUGGGAAGUGGUCAGCCAGGAGUUGAACCCAAGAAUAAGAAGAUUGGAUCCAAAGCCUCUUAAACACUCCACUACCUGUCCUAGUGUUAGGAGACCUAGGAUCCAGCCACACUCCUACUGACUACAGGACAAGGACUGAACAAGAAAGGAAAAUGACGAAGUUAAAUGACUAAACUAUGGGCUCAUGACCUGCACUGAAAGUACGAACUUCCUAUGACUGAGCAAAAAGAAAUUCUUAUCUUUUGCAACCACAGAGCAGGAGUUGAAAAUUAAAAGCACAACUUGUUCCAGUGGAUUGCCAAGUCACCUUGCCAGUUAACUUCAUAGCCUUGCCAUAUCUUUGCAUGAAAUUUAGGGCAUUGACUGUCAUUUCUAUAUCUGUAACACUUAGGAAAGAGCCUGGCCCUCACCCAAUAAAUCCUUGUGAA